AGAGUUUGAUUAUGGCUCAGGAUGAACGCUGGCGGCGUGCUUAACACAUGCAAGUCGAACGAAGCACUUAAAUUUGAUUCUUCGGAUGAAGAUUUUUGUGACUGAGUGGCGGACGGGUGAGUAACGCGUGGGUAACCUGCCUCAUACAGGGGGAUAACAGUUAGAAAUGACUGCUAAUACCGCAUAAGCGCACGGUGUCGCAUGACACAGUGUGAAAAACUCCGGUGGUAUGAGAUGGACCCGCGUCUGAUUAGCUAGUUGGCGAGGUAACGGCCCACCAAGGCGACGAUCAGUAGCCGACCUGAGAGGGUGAUCGGCCACAUUGGGACUGAGACACGGCCCAA
rnacentral:rRNA from 1 species